rnacentral:rRNA from 1 species
AUGAAGAGGAAAAAGAAGGAGGCGCUGCGGGGAGAGGCGGCGCCAACACACUGGCGCCAGAUGCGAAAGAUCUGCGUCGUCGAGCUGCUCAGCGCGAUGCAGGUGCGGCGCAUCCAGUCCAUCAUGCAGGCCGAGAUCGCGCACCUCGUGGAGUCGGUCGUCGCCGCGUCCUCUGCCUCGCCGUCCUCCGGCUCCGCCGUCAUCGAUGUCGGCAAGGGGCUGGCCAGGCUGACCAACAGCGUCAUCGCGAGGGCGGUGUUCGGCGGCAAGUCUCGGCAGCAGGAGGCGUACCUCCGGGAGCUCGACGUAAUGGCGAUUCUCGGGGGAGGGUUCAGCUUGGUGGACCUUUUCCCGUCGUCCCGGCUGGUGCGGUGGCUGAGCAGCUCCGGCCGCGCCAUGAGGAGGCUCCACUCCCGGAUGCAGAGCAUCCUAGGAGACAUCAUCCAAGAUCGAAAGGAGACCAAAGUACCGAAUGCUGCUACCGCUAGAGACAACGAGGACCUGCUGGACGUGCUCCUCAGGCUGGGCAAGGAAGACACCCUCAGUUUCCCUCUCACGUCCGAGAUCAUCAGCGCCGUCAUCUUUGAUAUAUUUUCAGCUGCUACGGACACCACGGCUGCCACGCUAGAAUGGGCCAUGGCAGAGCUCGUCCGCAACCCGCAGGCAAUGGCAAGGGCGAAACUUGAAGUCCGACAGAUGCUCGGGCAUCGCCGCAGCUCCAACAUCACGAGCGCCGACCUCGUCGGCCUGCACUAUCUUCGGAUGGUCAUCAAGGAAACGCUGAGGCUGCACCCCUCCGCGCCGCUGAUCCACCGGGCGAGCCAGGAGAAUUGCCGGGUCAUGGGCUACGACAUACCCAAGGGCACCGCCGUCAUGAUAAACGCCUUCGCAGUGGGGAGGGACACGGCGCACUGGGGAGCGGACGCCGCGGAGUUCAGGCCGGAGAGGUUCGAGGGCAUGAGCGUGGAGUACAGCUCGCAAGGACCGCACAUGGAGUACAUCCCGUUUGGAGCUGGCCGUAGGCAGUGCCCUGGAGCCCUGUUCGCGACCACCAUGCUCGAGCUCGUGUUGGCCAACCUGCUGUAUCACUUUGACUGGGCGAUUCCCGGUGGGGCAGGCCCGGAGACGCUGGACAUGGGCGAGGUGUUUGGGAUCAUCGUGCAUACUAGGUCCAGCCUGCACCUGCAGGCAUCCUCAGCAUGCCAUCUACAAGACCAGACCAUCGGUGAACUGUCCUAG